GUUUUCAUAGUGUAGUGGUUAUCAAGUUUGCCUUACAUGCAAAAGGUUCUCGGUUCGAAACCGGGUGGAAACA